UGUCAGACGGAUCACUCGAGCAUCGGAUGCUCUGCUGGGAUAUUGUGGCGAAGCUGAUCUUAACAUCUUGCCUGUAAAGAAAAAAAGUCAUCCAUUCGCAAACGUUUAAACACAAGGCUGUCGAGACUAAAAAGCUUAAAAAGUCGACGGAACAACAUAGUCUCUGGCUAAAUUCAGAGAAAUCUUGUUACCACGAGAUUUAACAGCUGCGAAGUCCACGUGUUGGGGAGUAAAACGAGCAACGAGAAUAGCGUGACAUUGACCCAACGUCAGGGACUCCGUGCUUUUGGAUACAUGUCAAAACCAGAUUACAUAGGAACGAGAAUAGCUACUGUUUCUUCUCUGACGACGUUUUAAUCGUUUUUUGUUCUAUCUUUCCUUGUAAUAUUCCUUCUGGGAGACUUCGCGAAUUCUUUGAUGGUCACACAAAGUUUACCCACGUCCAUCUAAGUACGAAAGAAGCUUCGAAGAAACGUGAUAUUUGAUAACACAAGAAUCGCUGUGAAACUAAUCAAUAUUAAUUGAUUGUCGAAAGUUCCAAGCAACUUUACGUCGACGAUAAAUAAGAAGGAAGUAAUAAAGGAAACCUCUCUUAAAGUUCCUAAAUGACAUAAACUUUCUUCAACCAAUCCAGACGCAGCGAGGUAACAGUCUACGUGGUAAUUGACAUCUGUUGCACAUAA